GACAGGGUUACACUAUGUAAUUCAGGCUGAACUUGAACUCACUUUGUGACCCAGUCGGGCCUUGGAUUGCCAUAUUUCUGCCUCAGCCUCCCGAGUGUUGGGAUUACAGUCUAAGAAUGUGGCAGUCAUUCCAGCCACGAAGAAAAUGCCUGGAGAAUGCUGGAGAUGCAGACCCAAAGUCCUGACACGGGAGGGGUGAUGAACCAACCCUAAAUUGCCUACCUCUAGACAUCUUGUUAGAGAAUGUUCUUAUAAGGACUCCUAUCAUGUGAAGCUUCACAGAUAAUCCCUUCCCCGCAGGGGCUUGGAAGUCCCCGUGUCUGCCAGCUGUGACCUCUGUGCUCUGCGCCUGGUUUCGCAGCACGCAUCCCAGUUGCUGUUUGCAGAACAAAGGAAGGAGUGAGCCGGACCCUGUGAGAGUGUCAUCGCUGAACAGAGGCUCUCAAGCAAGUCCUCACAGCCUUGGAAUGAAUGCCUCACCCUUAAGAAACGCCCGUCCCCCACAGUCUUAGGACCUGAUGGCAGCAGCCGAUCUCUCCUGAAUCUUCUCGGACGCCAGAGCUGUGCUGAGCACUUUAUACGGCUUAAGCCAUUUCAUCCUUACUUCAACUCUGGGGGAAGGAAUUAUCAGGAAUCCUAUUUUACAUGUGGGGAAACUGAGGCACUGGGAGGGCAGCAAGGAUUGAACACAGCUGCUGGGCCACGCCCCUGCCCUCCAGCUGGGCUCAGUUAUUUCUUCCACAUCCUGAGUGGCCUGGGGGUAAGGCCUCUUCCUCUCUGGCCUUAGUUUUCCCAUCUGAGGGGGACUAGAUUGGGUUAUCUUCAGCGGCUUCGCUGACCAUCCUGAUUUUUAGCCCGUAUCAUUUGGAAAUUACUUUAUUCACUUAUUUAUUGUCUAGUCUGCUUUCCCCACCAGGCUGUGGCGAGCUCCGGGGAAGUUGUCCUCCGCUCUUCCCCACACUUCUCAGAGCCUGGCACUGUACCUGGCACUGAGUAGACCCUCAGUAAAUACUUGAGGAUGAAGAAAGGGGUGACUGUGACCGCCUUCGUUUCUAAAGCCGACUCUGGCCCUUCAUCCGGCCUGCAUUUUUCCGGGUUUGAUAUCAUUUUUUCCACUCUCCGGUCUGCUGCCGGCUGCCUCUGCCAACUUUCCACAGCUAGAGCCCUCCCCCACUCCGGGACCGCAGCAGCCGGCGACAGCUUGGGGUGGGGGAAACCCUGCUCCCUUCUCUUUCUUGGGCUGGUGUUGAGGUGGGGGCGUAGGUGCUAUCUACACCCGCUGGCAAGCCCUGAGGGAGCGGGUCGGAGGGAAGGGGUGUGGCUCGCUGGCUGGCUCUCCUUGGGGGCGGGGCAGCUGGGACUUUGGGGUGCCUGUUCGGGACUCAGGCCACUGCAGGCAGGAAUCGGGUUGGGGGCAGGGGUGUCAGGCAUCAGAAACACGAUGGUUCAAACAUCUGCAUGUUGUUCUCUUCUCAAAGCAGUGACACCCGGCCCUCUCCCGGCUGGAAACUCCUGACCUACGCCCAGCCCUGUGCCAGCCAGGCUGGACACCUCACUAUCUUUUCCCUCCUCACAGCCAGCAGGAGGUCCCAGGGUCACCCUCACUAGCUGAAUGACUUUGGAGUGUAUGCUCACUUCCCCCAAUUGGGUUUCAGUUUUCACAUUUGGAAAAUGAGUGGAUUGGACUAAAUCGGGGUCUAUGCUGGGGGAUUAAUGGAUAGGGUUUCAUGGAAUUCAUGGCUCAUUAGCCCUUAAGUUAAAUUGUAUUUGAAAGUUUGUCCUCCUCAAAUGCUAUAGGGAUUUACUACAUUCUUUUUUUUUUUUUUAAUUCUCCUUUUUUAAAUUUUGGUUUGUUUUUUGUGUUUUACUUUUGACACAGGGUCUAUGUAGUGUAGGCUGGCCUGGAACUCACAGUGAUCCUCCUGUCUCAGUCUCUCUCCUGAGUGCUGGGAUUAGAGGCCUGGCUGCCCUUUAUUUUUUUCUUCCUUCCUUCUUUCCUCUUUUUCUUGUUCUUUUUUUAAAUUUUUUUUCAUAGUUGUGGAUGGAGCUUGGGCUUCAUACAUGUUAGUUAAGUGCUCUAUUGCUUAAUGAAUUAGAGGUAGGGUCUUGCUAAGUUGUACAGGCAAGCCUCAGACUCCCAAGUACCCUGUUAGCUUCCUGAAGACUACACUGUGGAUAAGUUGGGCAUAGAUGCUAGUGGAAGAAGUCUGGCACACAUUCUCCUCCCAGGUGAAGAUUAAUUCAUCGUCAUGACAGCUUGGGACAGAACUCCCACAUAUGCUAGCUAUUAUAUUACCAGGAUGAGAGCUAAGAUUGCUUCUGAACAAUAUUUUUUGAAUCUAUAUUCCAGAAAAUGAAUUAAAGAGAAAAUAGUGGGUCACACUGAGCUGUGAUUAGUAGUGAUCCUGAAUGUGUCUCAAAGACAGAUAUUACACCCAAUGGAUGGGAGAGGGCCUAAGGGCACAACUAGCCUGUGAUUUUAUUGAUUUGCCUGGAUACAUGGCCAGGAAGGUAAACCAGUCCACAGCACUGUAAUGGGAAGCCAGGAGGAUGAAAUGUCUGGAGAGCCCAACGAGGAAUCUGGGCAUUCAGACUGGACAUCCUGCUGGAUUAGUUUAUUGUGGGGGUUUCUGAGAGUAGGUGAGUGUUGGGAGCCGUGGCACUGUCAAGUCAUCAGACGCGGUGAUUGCGAGGCCUGUGGGAAAGUACAAAAGCCUGGGCUAGAUUACCCCUCUCAUCGAGCCCGCCUGUGUGGCACCUGUUUCUUAUCACCCCACUAAGUUCCCGCCUCACAGGGUAGUCUGCCUAGCUAUUAAUCCUAUAUAUAGCCAGUGCCUCCACCCCCGAGAGAGAGAGAGAGAGAGAGAGAGAGACUGAAGCACAAAAGGAGCCGCGGGGAGCGGACCGGUAGAGGCUUCGAGAGAGACUGAAGCACGGAAGGAGCCGCGGGGAGCGGACCGGUAGAGGCUUCGGGGCAGACUGAAGCACGGAAGGAGCCGCGGAGAGCGGACCGGUAGAGGCUUCGGGGCAGGCUGUACGGAGAAGGAAAAUAAAAGAAAAGCCUGACCACCGCCAGACCUUGUCGUGUGUCUUUCCUGCCGGCCGGGAGCGGACACCGACAUUUGGAGGCCCGCCCGGGGAUUGAUCAACCCCGAGACGCGGUGGUGGACUGCAUUCUCCUACACAGUGCUGCAGCUGCAGGACAGGUGAGUAGAGGAUAAGCCUGGGCCCUGGGUGGCGCGCACCUACAGGGUUUGUAGACUCCUCUCAACCUCACGCGUAAGUGGCGGGUUUCUUGGGCCUCACGCGGUGAGUAUGAAACAUAACACCAGAACUUAAGGUAAUAAAAGAGUGUAAAACAUAAACAUAGAAGUAAAAAUAACAGAAGAUAUAUUAAAAAUGGGAAACAUGCCAAGUAAAGAUACACAGCCUUGGUGUUGGUCCUUCGGAGACUCCUAAAGUCCAAGGACCUCAAGGUGGGGCGUAAGACUUUAGAAAAUUUCCUUGCAGAGAUUGACAGCUUUGCUCCCUGGUUUCUGCCUACAGGGCAUGUAAACCUGCCCUCCUGGGAAAAGUUGGGCAGAGACCUUUCCCUAGCAGAGCGGGAGGGUAGAGCUUCAGUCUCUGCUCGUCCAUUGUGGGAAAUGAUACACACGUGCCUAAAGAGUGAGGGUAGUUACGGGGGGAGCUCUCAAGAACUUGUAGAAGUACGCGAGGUGUUUGAACAGGCACAGUCAGGAAGCUCCCGAGAAGGGUCCGUCAAGGAGGGCAGAGAUACAAAAGAGGAAGCCGAGGCGCGGUUUGUGUCUUUCCGCAGGAAUCGGGACGAGAACCAGUGUGGGUCCCAGAGAGGUUGACGCGACAAGUCCCUCGACUGAAGAUCAGGCCUGUUCCACCAGAGGCCAACCGCAGACCCAACAACAAGAUGAGCCCUAAAAGAACUGCAGGACAAUCCCUUUUUGGGGGCCUGGAACGGCUUGCUCCCCUAUGUGCUACCCUUGUAUACGCAUGGCUCGCUCGCAUGGCCUACGACCGCGUUUAAAAGUGACAGGCUUCCCACAUUCUCCUCCCUAGACAACAACAUGUAGCAGGGUGGGUGAGUCAAUGACGGGUAAGAGCGUGCCUCCCCAGCACGACUCAACCUAAGCCAGGCCCUACCCCGUUCCGCUCGAAAGCCGCUGGAUUGUUAGAUAAAUUUCUCUCCGAGGGGAUUCGUGGAGAGAAAUGAGUGCAUGCCUAUGUGCAACCAGGUUCCGUCCGGUUCAUUCCUGGCCCUAGAAAAAAGGACGAGGGCCUCAGGGCCUUGGUGGACCCUGGGACGGCCGACCAGGGUCUACGCUAAGGGCCUACGGUGGGCCUCAGUUCGGGGCAUAGGCCUCUGCACUCUAUCCAGGACGGGCUGCGAUGCGCGUAGCCAUCAUUUAAAAUAAAAUAGGGGGAGAUGUUGGGAGCCGUGGCACUGUCAAGUCAUCAGACGCGGUGAUUGCGAGGCCUGUGGGAAAGUACAAAAGCCUGGGCUAGAUUACCCCUCUCAUCGAGCCCGCCUGUGUGGCACCUGUUUCUUAUCACCCCACUAAGUUCCCGCCUCACAGGGUAGUCUGCCUAGCUAUUAAUCCUAUAUAUAGCCAGUGCCUCCACCCCCGAGAGAGAGAGAGAGAGAGAGAGAGAGACUGAAGCACAAAAGGAGCCGCGGGGAGCGGACCGGUAGAGGCUUCGAGAGAGACUGAAGCACGGAAGGAGCCGCGGGGAGCGGACCGGUAGAGGCUUCGGGGCAGACUGAAGCACGGAAGGAGCCGCGGAGAGCGGACCGGUAGAGGCUUCGGGGCAGACUGUAUAAGGAGAGAAUAAAGAAAAGCCUGACCACCGCCA